UACGUAGGGGGCAAGCGUUGUCCGGAUUUAUUGGGCGUAAAGAGCGUGUAGGCGGUUCGGUAGGUCCGUUGUGAAAACUCGAGGCUCAACCUCGAGACGCCGAUGGAAACCAUCAGGCUAGAGUCCGGAAGAGGAGAGUGGAAUUCCUGGUGUAGCGGUGAAAUGCGCAGAUAUCAGGAAGAACACCCGUGGCUAAGGCGGCUCUCUAGUACGGUACUGACGCUGAGACGCGAAAGCGUGGGGAGCGAACAGG
rnacentral:rRNA from 1 species